GUUCUCAGGCCCUGCCAGAGGCUGUCCAGGGAGGUGGUAGAGUUCCCAUCCCUGGAGGGGUUUAAAAGCCAGGCAGACGAGGUGCUCAGGGAUGUGGUUUAGCAGUGGACAGAGGACGAGCCAGACUCAAGGAGCUGUGGAUUCGAAGUGGACACUGAUAGCGCUCAUCCUACGUGAUCUCUGUGCAAUGCCAAAGCUGAAACCGGAGGACCGUUACCUGCUGAGGUGCGAGGAGAAAUCUCCACAUGUCACCCUGACAGGUACG